UAUGGCUGGAGGCGAACCCAGACCCAAUCAUCUACGUUGAACAUGCGGUCCGAACGGUGCCGAUUUGCCUGGUCGCACAUGCGUUGGCGAGUUCUGCGGAGAUUAUGUUUGAGAGAGUGCAACACUAAGGUAUGCUGAUGUAGCAGAUCCGAGAUAGUGGUGUCAGCGCGAGGUGUGUGCAACAAAUCCAAGAUGGUAGGAGGUGGACGACCGUAUAGAGCAUGGAAGGGAGAGGUGCCAAUAGCCGAGUGAUGAGUCGUAUUGUGCCAUAACUCUGCGAGGUGGAGGUAUUGGUACCAUGUGUGCGGGUGGUCCUCCGUGAAACAUCGCAGGUAAGCUUCGAGCCCUCUAUUUAAAACCUCAGUUUGCCCAUCCGUUUGUGGGUGAUAGGCAGAGCUAAAUUUUAAUGUUGUACCCUGAGCUUUGAAUAGUUGUCUCCAAAACGUGCUAACAAAGAGUGGAUCUCGAUCUGAUACGACUGCUUUUGGCAUUCCAUGAAGGCGGAAGAUCUCCACAGCAAAGCGUCGUGCGAGUUGUUGCGCCGUGAAGUGGGUGGGAAGAGCCAGAAAAUGGGCGUACUUGGUGAGGCGGUCGCAGAUAACCCAAACUACCGUGUGACCCGCAGAGGAAGGUAAGUGAAUUAUGAAAUUCAUAGACAAAUCUUUCCAUACUUGUGCUGGUGUCGGUAGAGGUUGAAGUAACCCCUGAAUUUUUUUUGGCAUGUAUUUAUUUCUUUGGCAAGUGACGCACUGUUGGAGAAAUUGUUUCACAUCCCGCGUCCAUCCUGGCCAAUAAAACGAGACAUCAAUUUGGGCGAGGGUAGGCUUGAGGCUGGAAUGGCCAUUUGUGGGGGACUCAUGCAUUUCGUGGAGGAUUUGUUCUCUAAAUUUAUUGGACGCCGGAAGGAACAGUCGGUGUCGAAAGAACAACAU
rnacentral:lncRNA from 1 species